rnacentral:rRNA from 1 species
GACGUAGGGCGCGAGCGUUGUCCGGAUUUAUUGGGCGUAAAGAGCUCGUAGGCGGCUUGUUGCGUCAGCUGUGAAAACCCGCAGCUCAACUGUGGGCUUGCAGCUGAUACGGGCAGGCUUGAGUUCGGUAGGGGAGACUGGAAUUCCUGGUGUAGCGGUGAAAUGCGUAGAUAUCUGGAGGAACACCGGUGGCGAAGGCGGCAUCCUGGACCAACACUGACGCUGAUGAGCGAAAGCCAGGGGAGCAAACGGG